rnacentral:lncRNA from 1 species
UCAAAUACUAAUCUGGAUCCAUUUACGUAAAAUAUUGUUAACUCAAAUUAUUUAUAAGGCUAAAAUUCACUCAUUCUUCAAUUUUUUCACAUAAAACUUUUUCAAAAAAGAGACGAACUGUGCAUGCAAAUCGAAAAAUAUUAAACGGAGCUAAUUGACGUCUUGGAACAUGAAAAUAAAAGUUAAACCUCAAAUGACCUAUCCGGUCAUCAAACUUAGCUAGCAAGCCAGUCAAUAAACCUUUGCUUUGGUAGCAUUAUUCUUGAGCCUAAUAAAUUAGCCACUUUUUGUCUCAUCAUAUCCCCUUCUAGGAUAUUAUAGCUUAUAGUAACAGAGUAGGCACCAUUUGGAGUAAGCAGGGAAUUACGUUCAGUGGUUGGUGAUUCCAGAUAGGCACGUCAUGUUUCACAUAAAGCCCAUUUCACCCACCAGAUGUCUUGUUGGCACUCCACCUGCCACAAUAACUUUAUUAGUGACAAAGGCAAAUGCAUGAUUUAAACUUUAUGAGUUUAGCUUUUAAGAUUUUUAGCAUUAAACGUAUUAUAUUUUUAAAGUUAUGGGUUCAAAUCUAUUAUUUAUUGCAAUUUUAAUAGAUUUAUACACAUAAAUUUAGUAGAUUUAUACACCUUACUUUUUAGGAAUACAUACUUUAUCCCAAACAAUAAGUGCUACCCUUUUGUACUUAUGAGAACCGCCUCACAAACAAUUCAUACACUUACUAUCAACCUCCUUUACCACACUUUGAGCAUGAGGUAGGAGAUAAUAUUCAUUUUUUGUGUCAGUUGAACACCAUGGAGUAGUGCAAGUACAUAAUUUUGCAUGUCGAUAAGGAAGGUAAACUAUUGGAAAAACAAAUGAUGUUGCAAAAAUGAUUUUGGUAGACACCUCUUUUACCUUUACUGAUGUCAUAUGCCCCACCUGUAUUAAGUUACUAUUUGAGAAGCCAAAUAAUUCUUUUUCUGUACAUGGUAUUCUCGGGUAAAUGUUCAACAUUUUCUUCCUCCAAAGAUAGUAGAAAUUACCAGACUUCUAUGUGUUGUAGUUGAAUCAAAGUAUAUUUUUAAAAAUUGAAUAGUCAAUAUCCUAAAUGAUACUAAGAAAUUGUUAAACAUAACCAUUGCAAAUAUGAUAAAGAGAAUCAGGGAUACAUUUAAAAUUUUAAAAUAGGUAAUCAUGCAAUCAAUAGCAUCUUAAUCUAGAAUGGGGUUGGUACAGUGGCGGAGCCAGUAUUUAUACAAAGGGGUGUCAAAAUUUAAAGAAGAAGCCAAGAAAAAUGAUUCUACUAUUGAUAGCAAAAUAAUAUAAUAUUAUUACAAGCAUACUCAACGAUGUUGCAUUUCCUGAGAUAUUUUUAAAAUAUCAUCAUUAGAAAUAGUACCAAAUACAUCUUUCUCUACGUAAGGCACCAAGCAAUCACUCAAAAGUGCAUCGUUCACUCUAUUUCGUAUGUCAUUCUUGAUAAACUUCAUUACCGCUAAACCCCAGUCAACUGGUAUAGUUGCAACUGGCAAAAGAAAAGCAAAUUUCACCAAGUAGAAUACAAGAAAGAAGUUUAAAUGCUUAUUUGCGUCAAUUAAUUUUCUUCAAAGAUCACAAAGUCCAUUCAAAUUGGAGAACCUUUUAUCAAUAUCAUGGACAUCAAUAAUGUAUGUUGCAAGCUGAUUCUCAAGAGCACCCAUUCUAACUUCAUCAAAGUCAUAAGGUUAUAAUUUAUCCAUUUUCAUGAUCUUCUUGAUGUCAAAACUAGAAAAUGAGUCAAUUGGAUUCCAACAAGUAACUCCAUGAAGCAAAUUAAUAGUCACUUUGUCAAAAUGACCAUUAAGUUCUUGAAUUUGCCAAUCAAUAAUAUUACAAAACACAUCAACAUAAUAAUGAUGGAAAAUAGUAUGAUCAGAUCUUAAAGAGUUAAGGUAUGCCUCAUCAAAAUUAGGCACUAAAAUGCCAUACUUGAUACAAAACAUAGAUACUUUUUCAAUAAGUGAAUCCCAAUCAUCUUCUCUUACACUUUGCAACCUUAUUUUUACAACUUUUACAAGUAGCAUGGCGUUUGCAAUAUCUUGCUCCUUUUUUGUAAGCAUUUAUUUAAUUCAUUUGAGAUUGCUAAAAUAUCACUCAUUAAAUGCAACAUGAAUGCAACCUCAAAGGUUUAACAAGCUCUGAGAUAUCUCAUUGCCUUGGUCCUCUCAUCCAUCAAAUGUGCAUCAACAACAAGUGCUUCAAGAACAUCAAGAAUAGAGCCAAACAUAAGAAUAAAAUUUUUAAAAGAUUUGCAGUGAGAAUCCCAACGAGUAUCACAAGCUCUUGAAAGAUCAAGUUCUUGAUUCAAGCCUCUACUAGUUUUAAGCUCACCCAUAUCUAAUGCCUCUUCAAUUAUUUACUUUUGAGAUUCUUGAAAUUCAUCCAUACGCUUAAAAGAACACAUUCAAAAUAUUUGAGACCAAAACUACAAGUUAUCCUACUUGAAUACAUUUGUUUUAAACCGCAACAAGAGUUAACUGAAGUUGAUUAGCAAAAUAAUGAAUAGAAUGAGCCGAUCUACUUUCCUGCUUAGUCAAUAUCUUUAGGCCAUUAAGCUCACCUUGCAUAUUGCUUUCUCCAUCGUAGCAUUGGCCACGAACAUAUGAUAGACUUAAGAAAUGUUUAGCAAGUAAAUCAACAAUUGCCUUCUUUAAAGAUGAAGCACAAGUAUCUUUGACAUGAACAAUAUCAAUAAGUCACUCCACCACAAAUCCCAUUCUAUUAACAUAUCUUAAGAUAAUCGCCAUUUGCUCCUUUCAUGACAUACCAAAAGAUUCGUCAACUAAUAAGGCAAAGUAGUCAUCAUUUAAUUCUUUAAUAAUAGCUUUGAUUGUUUCCAUAUUACAUGCAGUCACGAUACCUUUUUGAAUCAUUAGAGAAGACAUCUGAUCAUUUUGAGAAGCAUAUUCCAAUACAUAAUCAUAAAUUUUAUCACAUUCCUUUGCAUAUCAUGAGAGAAUUUCAAGAAAAUUACCCCUAUUAAAUGAUGUUUUAGAUUCAUCAUGACCCCGAAAUGCAAACUCUUGUUUCAAAAGAAGUACCACUACAUUAAUCGAAGUAGUUAAGUGAAUAAUGUACUCAUGCUUAACUUGAUCAGAUUGCCUCUCAAAUGCAAUUAUAAUGGGUUGUUGUUGUAGUAGUAGACCUAUACAUUUUCUUUUUGCGUGAUUAUGAUUGCUAUUUGGCCCACCAACAUGCUUAUCAAAGCUCUGCUUUUUCUUCCAACUCUUAAACCCUAUGCUAGAAUACAUCAUCUCUACCUUGAUGAAUAUUAUUGUCUUUAAACAAAUAACCACUCAAACAAUAUGAUGCAUCGUUACUUAUACUAAACUCCAACCACUCAUGAUAAUUAUCAAACUAUCUGGGAUUGAAACGACACAUUACUCCAUAAAAAUUUGUUUGAGGAAAAUUAUGUUCUUUAGGUUGACAAGCACCUCUCUGAAUGUAUUCUCUUCUAAUCUCAUCGCGCAGGUUUGGAUGGUAGUCCAAGAUUUGAGUUCUUUUGACCGGAUCAAAGUUUAAAGUUUCAAGAUUAAUUUUUUGUCUUUGAGAAGAAUGCAAUGGUACUUCCGAUUGGUUACCACCUUCAUUCAAGUUAUAUUGAUUAUUAGGAUCCAAAUUUGAUUUUGGUACUACAUCUUCUUCCAACUCAUAUUGAUUAUGAGGAGCGGUCAAUCCUGAUUUUGGUACUUUGGAAUAAAACUACUUCAUUGAUUUUUGAUUCUGAGUUAUAAGAUAAAAUUUAAUUAGAAAAAUUACAAAUAAUAUUUUCUAUAAAAUAUUACAAUACAAAAUUAUAACAACUGUCAUUUUUAAUCAAAAAAGUAUGCAUAGAGAACCCCCAGCGACAUUGUUCAUUUGUUCUGAUGCUUGUACGAUAUUUUCUUGAUACUUGAACUCCAUGAAAUGAAAAAACAAAUAUGCACAGAAAUUGAACAAAAGCCAUAAAUCCCAUCUUUUAUGUAUGAAACAAGAACCCAGCAAUAAACUAGUAUGGUCCAUCCAAAAACAAACUUUGCCAAGCAAAAGUUAUUCACAGAAACCAGAAAUUGAACCCCAGCCAUAAACCAGUCUAGUCCAUCCAAAAAACAUAGUAAAGAAACUUACCCUAGCUUCCAUGAUAGCCAAAAAUAGACUAGUGAUUUGCAAUUUCAAAGAGAUCAAUGGAGGCGGCGCGAUGACAACUAGGGACUUGAGCAAUUUUGAGAACAGGAGCAAUUUUGAGAACGGGAGCAAAGAGAAAAGUGAUACGCUAGACGUUCCCUUAUGAGUUCUGUUGAAUUAGGGGGUUUCUUUAAUCCCAG